rnacentral:rRNA from 1 species
AGAAUCAACGCUGGCGGCGUGCCUAACACAUGCAAGUCGAACGAGAAAGUGGAGCAAUCCACAAGUAAAGUGGCGCACGGGUGAGUAACACGUGACUAACCUACCCUUGAGUGGGGGAUAACCUAGAGAAAUCUGGGCUAAUACCGCAUAAUACCUUCGGGUCAAAGGAGCAAUUCGCUUAAGGAGGGGUCGCGGCCGAUUAGUUAGUUGGCGGGGUAAUGGCCCACCAAGACUAUGAUCGGUAUCCGGCCUGAGAGGGCGCACGGACACACUGGAACUGAAACACGGUCCAGACUCCUACGGGAGGCAGCAGUGGGGAAUUUGCGCAAUGGGGGAAACCCUGACGCAGCAACGCCGCGUGGAGGAUGAAGCCCCUUGGGGCGUAAACUCCUUUCGAUCGGGACGAUAAUGACGGUACCGAGAGAAGAAGCCCCGGCUAACUUCGUGCCAGCAGCCGC